CAGUAGCCGCGGUAAAACAGAGGGUGCGAGCGUUAAUCGGAUUUACUGGGCGUAAAGCGUGCGUAGGCGGCUUCUUAAGUCGGAUGUGAAAUCCCUGAGCUUAACUUAGGAAUUGCAUUCGAUACUGGGAAGCUAGAGUAUGGGAGAGGAUGGUAGAAUUCCAGGUGUAGCGGUGAAAUGCGUAGAGAUCUGGAGGAAUACCGAUGGCGAAGGCAGCCAUCUGGCCUAAUACUGACGCUGAGGUACGAAAGCAUGGGGAGCAAACAGGGUUAGAUACCCGUGUAGUCCCUGUCUCUUAUAC
rnacentral:rRNA from 1 species